UCCAUGAUGCGACUGUCAUGUGUUUUUUGUCGUCGUGGGAGUCAAAAAAUUAUUGUACAAUCAUAAAAAUACAGUAACCAUAAAUAGAUAAAUAAAUAUGUACAAGAAUUUUUUUGAGAGAAAGCCUCGGCCUAGGAAACUUUCCAGGCGUUCAUUGUCUUGAUGUCCUGAUUUCUUACUGAGGACGUGAAGAAAAAUGUUCCUUGUCGUUGUCGAGUGGGACUGGACGAACCCACAUCCUCUUGCUUGCCGGACACAACCAUUUGAACCAAUAAGGAGUAAUUAUUUUUACUCACUUCCACCUGUAUAUUGUACCGCCACAAUACAGUAUUUAUUAUUAUUUAUUAUUAUACACAUAUUGCCAAACAUAUUACGUAAACAUGUUAAAUAUAUGUUAAUUUGUUAAG